rnacentral:rRNA from 1 species
ACGCUCGACACCUACGGGGCAGCAGUUGGGAAUAUUGGACAAUGGAGGAAACUCUGAUCCAGUGACGCCGCGUGAAGGAAGAAGGUCUUCGGAUUGUAAACUUAUUUUGUCAGGGAAGAAAAAUGACUGUACCUGAAGAAAAAGCACCGGCUAACUACGUGCCAGCAGCCGUGGUAAUCUGAGCGGGCUGGCAAGGC